rnacentral:rRNA from 1 species
CCCUAUUAUUAUUAAAUUAAUUGAUAACCUAAGGUAGUAAAUGCUUUAAUCAGGAAACUUAAAGAAUUUGACGGUAUCUAUUCUUACCAGAGGAAUAUGUUUUUUAAUUGAUUUUCCACAAAUAUCUUACUUGUAUUUUUUUUGUAUAUCUCCGUCUUAAAAAAUUUUUUAAAAAUAUAUUUUGAUUUUCUUAUUAGAAAUAAGUCAGGUCAAGGUGCAGUAUAUAUAAGUUAAAAUGUAUUACAAUAAAUAUAUUUAUGGAUUUAAAAUUAAAAAUUUAAUUAAAUUGGAUUUGGCAGUAAAUUUAUUUUUAUUAUAAUCGGUUGAAUU